rnacentral:lncRNA from 1 species
GGCGUUACUGCAGCUAGCUUGCUAAGCCUGAUGGUGGGGUCUUUCAUUCCCCCCUCUUUCUGGAAACUGAAUAAAAUCUUUUAUUCACGUGAUUUUACUUUUUCUGGAUCUCUGAUUCCGAGAGGUGUUUUCUCGCUUAAGGGAAAUUAGGUCCCUAGGAGGGAGGUAGCGUUAGCUGUUUGUCCUGUACCGCUACUCCUGCCCUUACUAAGAUUCUCAGGACUAUCAGGGGGCCCCACGGGUUAAUCUUAUCUUUAAGGGGUUUUGAGAACGCUGGACCUUCCAUGUCGGUCCUGAUGCUGUUCCGGCCGGAGGAGUUGUCGCCGCCUUUACGUGAGCGGCGUGGAUCCACGCAGCGAUGCCGUCUACUUUGAGAGCGGUGGGGGUGGUCAGCAGGACGGUGUAGGGUCCUUUUCAGCGAGGUUUUAAGUUCUUAGUCUGGUGCCGGCGUACCCACACAGUGUCACCGACACGGAAGGGGUGUGGUAUCACUGGCUGGUCUUGCUGGUCCUGAUAAGCAGCAGCUAGUGGCUUCCAGACCUCUCGUUGUACUGCUUGGAGGGCCUGUAAGUGGGCUUGGAGAGAGGGGCUAUUAGUAAACUUUGACAUUUCAGGAUCAUGAAAGUUGACAAGGGGCGGUGGCGCCCCAUACAGGAUCUCAUACGGAGUUAAUCUAUGGGGUCCCGGAGUGUUCCGGGCUCGGUAGAGGGCCAAGGGAAGUAGGAGUACCCAGUCUCUAGUGCCAGUUGCAAGCGUUAAUUUGGUCGAAGUCUCUUUGAUUGUCCUAUUCAUUCUUUUUACCUGACCUGAACUCUGGGGUCUGUAAGCACAAUGUAGUUUUUAAUUAAUCCCCAGUAGCUUGGCCACCGACUGACUUACCUGGGAGACGAAGGCAGGCCCAUUAUCAGUCCCCAAUACUUGGGGCAUUCUAAACCUUGGAAAUAUUUCUUUUAGAAGCUUUUUGGUCACAACUUUGGCAGUCUCAUGCUUGGUUGGGAAGGCUUUCACCCAGCCAGAGAACGUGUCCACAAACACCAGAAGAUACUUAUACCCAUACAGUCCGGGCUUUACUUCAGUAAAGUCAAUUUCUCAAUGGGUGCCUGGUCGAUGUCCUCUUACUCGCACCCCGGGACCGACCUUAGCUUUACUGGCAUUUACUUGGACACAGGCUUGGCAUGAUUCCGCCACCUCGUGGAGGAUCUUAUCUUUAUUUAGCAUGUAAUAGGGGCUUUCUUUUCUGUCUAGAAGUGCCCUCAUCUUUUGAUAGCUAAGGUGGGUGAGCUGGUGAAGGAAGUCUAAUAAUUUAAAGGUGAACUGGUCAGGCAUCACAGGUUUACCUUGCAGGACCCAAUAUUUUUUCUCUCUAUCAUAUGUGGCUCCCAACUCUUGUAGGUUCUUUAUAUCUGUUUCAGUAUAAUGGAAGAAGUCUGGAGUGUACGGGGUUGAGGUCUCUAUGAGAAGUGAGGAGGCCUUUGUGUCAGUCCCCAUGGCUGCUUUCCGGGCUGCCUGGUCCGCCAUUCGGUUGCCUUUAGCUUCAGCACUAUUGCCUUUCUGAUGUCCUGGGCAGUGAAUUAUACUGAGUCUUUUGGGCAGAAAGAGAGCUUUCAGUAAGGCCAAGAUUUCGCCCUUGUUCUUGAUCUCCUUGCCUUCUGAGGUGAGCAACCCACGUCUCUUAUAUAUUUCUCCAUGGACAUGGGCGGUAGCAAAGGCAUAGCGGCUAUCAGUAUAAACAUUUAGCUUUUUACCUUCUGCCAUCUUUAGGGCCUGGGUGAGUGCUAUUAGUUCAGCUCGCUGGGCGGAUGUCCCGGCUGGCAACGCCUUGGCCCAGAUUACCUCGGUCUCGGUGGUCACCGCUGCUCCAGCCUUACGUUGCCCCUCCUGCAGGAAGCUGCUUUUAUCUGUAUACCAGGUGUGGUCGGCAUUUGGGAGGGGCUGGUCCGUGAGGUCCGGUCUGGUGCCGUGUGUCUCAGCCAAGAUCUCGAGGCAGUCGUGGGGGGUCUCUUUCCCCGGUAGGGGAGCAACGUGGCCGGGUUUAGGGCUACCACCGGUCCGAACUGAACCCGGUCCGUAUCUAGGAGCAUUGCCUGCAUCUUUUGUCAGAACGGCAAUGGCUGCUAUUAUCCGUAGGCAAGGGGGCCACCCAGCUGCCACUGGGUCUAGCUUUUUGGACAGGUAGGCCACAGGCCGACGCCAAGGUCCCAGUUUUUGCGUUAGGACGCCUUUGGCGUAGCCCUGCUUUUCGUCGACAAAGAGUUCAAAGGGCUUAGUCAAAUCUGGCAAUCCCAGGGCGGGGGCAGUCCUUAGCCCAGUGUCCCGUUUCUUUGCAGUAGGCGCAUUGGUCCUUAUCAAGUUGGGGCCUCCUCCGCUCUCCCCCCUGUCUAUCCUGUCUCUGACCAAUAACUACAGUGGCCAAGAGCUUGCUCAUCUCUCUAUGUCUUCUGCGGUCCCUGG